rnacentral:rRNA from 1 species
GUUGGUACCGGGGUCCCCAAUAUCUGAACAAUCGGGGAACAAUAACGGCGUCUUAGCGGCGGACGGGUGAGUAAUGCCUAAGAAAUUGCCCUGAUGUGGGGGAUAACCAUUGGAAACGAUGGCUAAUACCGCAUGAUGCCUACGGGCCAAAGAGGGGGACCUUCGGGCCUCUCGCGUCAGGAUAUGCCUAGGUGGGAUUAGCUAGUUGGUGAGGUAAGGGCUCACCAAGGCGACGAUCCCUAGCUGGUCUGAGAGGAUGAUCAGCCACACUGGAACUGAGACACGGUCCAGACUCCUACGGGAGGCAGCAGUGGGGAAUAUUGCACAAUGGGCGCAAGCCUGAUGCAGCCAUGCCGCGUGUGUGAAGAAGGCCUUCGGGUUGUAAAGCACUUUCAGUCGUGAGGAAGGUAGUGUAGUUAAUAGCUGCAUUAUUUGACGUUAGCGACAGAAGAAGCACCGGCUAACUCCGUGCCAGCAGCCGCGGUAAUACGGAGGGUGCGAGCGUUAAUCGGAAUUACUGGGCGUAAAGCGCAUGCAGGUGGUUUGUUAAGUCAGAUGUGAAAGCCCGGGGCUCAACCUCGGAAUAGCAUUUGAAACUGGCAGACUAGAGUACUGUAGAGGGGGGUAGAAUUUCAGGUGUAGCGGUGAAAUGCGUAGAGAUCUGAAGGAAUACCGGUGGCGAAGGCGGCCCCCUGGACAGAUACUGACACUCAGAUGCGAAAGCGUGGGGAGCAAACAGGAUUAGAUACCCUGGUAGUCCACGCCGUAAACGAUGUCUACUUGGAGGUUGUGGCCUUGAGCCGUGGCUUUCGGAGCUAACGCGUUAAGUAGACCGCCUGGGGAGUACGGUCGCAAGAUUAAAACUCAAAUGAAUUGACGGGGGCCCGCACAAGCGGUGGAGCAUGUGGUUUAAUUCGAUGCAACGCGAAGAACCUUACCUACUCUUGACAUCCAGAGAACUUUCCAGAGAUGGAUUGGUGCCUUCGGGAACUCUGAGACAGGUGCUGCAUGGCUGUCGUCAGCUCGUGUUGUGAAAUGUUGGGUUAAGUCCCGCAACGAGCGCAACCCUUUAUCCUUGUUUGCCAGCGAGUAAUGUCGGGAACUCCAGGGAGACUGCCGGUGAUAAACCGGAGGAAGGUGGGGACGACGUCAAGUCAUCAUGGCCCUUACGAGUAGGGCUACACACGUGCUACAAUGGCGCAUACAGAGGGCGGCCAACUUGCGAAAGUGAGCGAAUCCCAAAAAGUGCGUCGUAGUCCGGAUUGGAGUCUGCAACUCGACUCCAUGAAGUCGGAAUCGCUAGUAAUCGUGGAUCAGAAUGCCACGGUGAAUACGUUCCCGGGCCUUGUACACACCGCCCGUCACACCAUGGGAGUGGGCUGCACCCGCAGUGAGGUAAUUUACCACGA